AUAUAUAUAUAUAUAUAUAUAUUUAUAUUUGGUUAAAUCACUUAAAAUCCUUAAGCAUUGCACAUUUAUCAGGAGUGUCUUUCAGGUUGGACUGUUCAUAGCUUGCUCAUUUGAAUUGUUCAUUUUGUUUACAACUUUCUUGAUCAUGUCUGCUAUUGUGAAAAUUUGUUGUUCAUUUUCUAUACUACUAUCUUGAUCAUGUCUGCAAUUCUUGUGAAAAUGAAAUCAUAUUUAUUUGUUAUUUAUUGUGUGUGUUCUGUAUGUAAUCCUCUUGGGGCCAAAGAUAAUUUCAAAAAGUCAUUUUUUUUUUUCAUUUAUUUAUUCAAAUCCCAACAAAUUUUGGGUAGACCAUGUGCAAAUCAUGUACAGACCAAGAACCCAGCGCUUAACAGACCAUAUCCAGUUUUUUGUUAUAUUAGUUGUAUAUUCAAAUUUUUUUAAAAACAUUUUCUAAAGAUGAAGAAAGAUUUCAUUUUCUAUGUAUCACAAAACCAUUUGUAUGUUUGUCUUCUCAAGCCUCUAAGAUGAUUUUUUUGUUCUUAUAGUGUUUGACCUUUUAGUUGGACUAUGUCUUGUGCAUAAUAGUAUUUACAAUUAAAUUAUUCUGACAUGAUUGUUUGAAAAUGUUUCAAGACUAGUCUCUUCCAGGGGAACAAAUUGUCUCUUGCGACAUUUUACUUGUCUUUGUUGGUAUAUUUUCCACCUGAAACUUUUUAAAGACAAAAUGUUGACCUAAUUGACUUGUGCAUCAAGGCUUAUAUUAAAAAAAUUGACUUGACUACUAUAAAGGACUGUUACAGCCUCUUUACAAGACAUCGACAACUCCAAUGUAGAACUGUUACAGCCUCCUUUUAAGACUUUGACUACUCCAAUAUAGAACUGUUACAGCCUCUUUACAACUUUUCACUUGAAGUUGAUAACUUUUAUAUUCAUAAUUUUUUAAUGAAAAAAUACUUAAAAUUUCUGACAUUCUUUACAAAUUGAAUAUGAAAUAAUUUCUUUUUCCAGAAUCAAAACUUUGGCUUUUGUUUUUCUCAUUUUGCUUUUGACUUGUAGAACAAGUUUAAUCCCGAACAUUAUAGAGAAACUUUAGUU